rnacentral:rRNA from 1 species
UACGUAGGGUGCAAGCGUUGUCCGGAAUUAUUGGGCGUAAAGAGCUCGUAGGCGGUUUGUUGCGUCGGCUGUGAAAUCCCGAGGCUCAACCUCGGGUCUGCAGUCGAUACGAGCAAACUAGAGUGUUGCAGGGGAGACUGGAAUUCCUGGUGUAGCGGUGAAAUGCGCAGAUAUCAGGAGGAACACCGGUGGCGAAGGCGGGUCUCUGGGCAACAACUGACGCUGAGGCGCGAAAGCGUGGGGAGCAAACGGG